UGUUCAAGUAGCUGAUCUCAGACUUGAAGCAUUAGCUCUUAUUCUAUCCCCACCUGGUGACUACUUAUACACUUCUUAAGAUCUUUUUUUGCCACCAACAGUAAUGUCAUGCUUUUGCACUUCUGGAAUAGUCAAAUUUGCAGGACAAAGUGCUGUUUCUUUUGAAUGCGUGUUAUUGGAGGCAAAUGAUAUCAUUCCACAAGAAAACUGAAAAACACUUUCUUCAGAAGUUUGCAUUUCUGCUUUUCAACUUUUCAAGAACUUCUCUCUUUUUCUACAGAUAUCAUAAGUUGAGCUCCUUUGAGACACUCAAAUGGACCAAGGACAGAAAGGCCCAGUCGGAACAAGAUGAUGAACUAAAAUGACAGAAGACUGAAAGCUGAGGAGGCCUGUGAAUGAGCAAAGGUGUUCCCGAAAGUGAUCAGUCUGUUUGUCUUCCUAAUGUCUAUGAGCAAACAACAUGAGCAGCAAAUACAGUAAACCAAGCUGAAAGAAACACAAGGAAAUCGCAAUUUAUGCCGGGAUGAAUGUUUGCAAUUUUGGAUAGUGAGAAGAAGUGGCUAGCAGGUGCUGCACCUCCCGCAAUUACAUGAGUAGUCCCUCAGGAAAGGCAGAAGGUGACUGGGAGUGGAUCAGGGUGUUGCAAAGGUAAUUUGUAAUUGUGAGAAGGAGGGGAAGAUGUAUUUGGUGGUGACAUUACACUGCAGGUGACAAAAUAGCAGCAGUUGAUUCAUUGAAGACAUAGGCUGGUGGAGUGGGAAGCAAUGUUCUCUCUAAGCUGCGUGCUUGUGCCGCAGACUGCCACUCCAAUCAGUAUAGGCACACCAUUCAUGGCCUUGGUUUCUCAUUCAGGAUGAUGUUGACGUGCUCUGGCAUCAGAGGCCCAUCUUGUCAGUAAGAAAAUUCAAAGGAAUGCUGGUUGAAAGUGAGGUUAAUGGGAACCCCAUCAUAAUACUGGGAGGAGAAAGUGUGGUACUGGAAGAGUGUGAAAUAGGAUAGACAUAGAUGAGAGGCCUAUCGACCAGAGUGUGAGUGGAACUCCCUCAUUAAGGAGAAAGAAACACAUACCAGAAGCACUAGCAUAGAAGGAUACAUAUUCAUAAGAGGUUUUAUUGGAGGUUAAAACUUUCCUGCAGAAUUUUGAUUGACAUAACUUUACUCAAUCUAUGUAACACGAGUCAACAUUUCCAAUAAUUUCAGAUUUCCAAUUGCAAAUCCUUCUCUAUAAAUUUUAUACUUGAUCCAAAGAUGGACAUCUUGCUGAAGAAUGGAAUCCCCUGCCAUGCUUGAAAAUCUGAUGUUUUAUUGAAGCUAUUGAAAGUGCAUACACCACCAUACGAUAAAAGCCUGAAUUGUAUCUAGAGUUACAAACAGUCAUAGGGAAAUGCAAAAUAGUUUAGUCAGUAACAAUUAGAAUGUAGAAUUACUAAAAUGUCAAUCACAAGGCAAUUCAAAUUGAGAAAGCAUGUUGUGGCUGUUGAAACAAUUGUUUCCAUAGCCACUACUAACAGCCUCAAGAGUGAACAGUUUAUUUGGGGGGGAUAAAUAAAUAGAGAAUUUAAAUCUCUUCAUUCUAAAUGCUCCAACUUGCUCCCCUUUCUCCUGUGAGAUGUGCAUGGUGUCAAUGUAGCGAAUCUACCUUCAACCCAGUCUAUUAGCCAAAUAAAUGAAGAUGACAUAGGAUAAUAUCCAGCUUUUGAGUGUACUCUUGCAAGCUUUAUAGAGUUGGUUCCACACAUUUAGCCUGAUCAAUCAACCGUACUCAUAAAUUAUUCUCUUCACAUUAUAGAUCUGCUGUUUUAGGAUGCUGUAAAGCAGGUAAAAAUUCAAUAAUAUCAUGCUCAAUGAUUCACCAAUAAUCUGAACAGCAGAUGAUGAUGAAACAUUUGACUAGGUUCCAUUUGCAAUUCCCCACCCACCCACCAUCCCAGCCAACUUUCCAGUUUCUCCCAAUAACAUAGGUUAAUUAUCUUGAAUAAUAAUCAGUUCCUUCCUGUGGGCAUGUUUCUGCUGCAGACUAUAAUAAAACAACUUAAUGUGGGUGACACAUUAAAAUAUGAAGGGCUGAAUUCACCCAGGCUUUAAGUUGCAAAUACAGGAGAAGAAACACAGAUGAGAACUGCAGUAUGGUCUAAAUAUUGUUUUAGAAUUCAAGGUGAAACAAAACAAUAAUCAUGGGAAGCAUUUUCAUAGUAAAUCUUUAUUUGGUUUUUUUUUGUAAAUCAGGCUUUUAAAACAGAAAGAUUCACUACUUCAGGAAAACAAUCCAGGAGAGUUGGGUAUAAAGUUUGGUGAUAUUACAUGCAAUCAGCCUGAGGUUACUUGAACUGCAUCAUCCUCCUCAAAACACCAUCCUAAUAAUUGGAUAUAAAGACAUCCAGAAUUAUUUCCGCAACUUUUCAAGGGCUUUUAAAAUUGAGUGGAGGAAUAUCUGUGGCUGUGCAUUAGGCAUGAAUCACAGUCAUAGUUGAGGCAUCUCCUGUGGCUGCGAUGAGGCGACAUUUGGUCCUGUCUCAUGUUAAUGAGGAGCCUAAUACCUGUUUUAAAGCUCCAGUGCCAAACUGGACAGUGUAAUGUAGAACAGGAACCAUUGUUCUAGAGACAGCAAUAUUCCGGUGAUUUCAAAUUGUUGACUAUCAGUUAAUUCUAUUUCUGACCAAGCCCCAGCUCCAUGCAUCUUGGCAGAAUCACAGAAUUGCUUUGGUGCUGAAGAAGGCCAUUCAGCUCAUUGACUGUACUGCUUAGUACUGCUGCUGGCAAGUCAAAGGCCUGACAUUCGAUAAUGUAAAUUGGUAGACAUACCUGAGGAGGUGUGCAAAGUGCUAGCAGCUUGUCCAAAUAAUGUGCAAUUGAACUAAAUUUCAGUCAAUAACCAUCAGUGCACCAUCAUUGGCCGGGUGCACAGGAAUGAACCAUAACGAAUUUCUAGGUUACUGAAGAGAGGCAAAAGGUCUCCAACAGGCUACAGGCCAGUGGCUGUACAGCAACAUUUUUAAGAGCUGGAAAUAUCAGUACAGCUGGGCAAGGACAGCAUACAGCAGGCAGACUGUGAAACUGGCAGACAGACAUGCACUGUACGUCUUGUGUUGUGGGACUUUGGAUUACUACUGUCAUUCAUCAAUACGCUGCAAUUAAUGAGGUUAUUGGGGCACAUGGUCUGUGAAGGUGGGUGAUCAUAUACAGUUGGAUGGGAUGUGGGUGGGAAUGGAAAACUAACUAAUAACAGCUAAAACAAGAGAAUAAAAUUACUUUACAAGUCACUUUUCUAAGUUAAUAAAAAGAAUAGUUAGACAACGCAACUUUAAGUCAGUGUUUCCUUUAUUUCAGAUGUGUUUUUUCCUUUGUAUUUUUUGUUUUAUAAAGUUGUUUGGAACUGUCCUGGAUAAUAUACAAGAAAGAACACUUUUGGAGAGAGACAUAUCUUUGCUGAAGUAAAAUAAAAGAACCUUUGGUAACCUUUUUGUGUUUGCUGUACGGUAACAAUGCUAGAAGGAAGGCAGAAAGCUAGCAUAGAGUCAGGGUACGAUUUGAAUGCAAAUGGUUUAUAAACACAGUUUAGUCUCUCUUCACAGGCACUUUUUAUGGCUAAUCAUUUUACAUAAUUUCAGACAAUACAAAAAAGUAUAUUUAACAUUUAAAGGCCCUUUAGAAAAGCUGUAAUUAUGUAGCACAGUGUAUAUUUUUUUCAUAUUAAAAACCCUGAUCAUAACUACAAAUACAACUUUUUACAAUUUCCAAAAAAAAUUUAUUAACUGAAAUCUGCAGCCCAUAAUGUUUGAAAAGGACAAAGGGGUGGGAGGAAGGAUAAUUUUCAAAUUGUCUUUAAAAAGCAAAAAAAAAUCAGUAGUUUGAUAGUAAAGUGGGAAAUCUCGUAAAGUGAAUCCAAUAUAAAAUACUGCAUUUUUCCACAAUUCUGUUACUUUUAACAAAAAUAUGUAAAAAUGCUAAUUGAGCUGGUAAUAUGUGAAGCACAAAUUGGUGAUAACUGUGAUGCUGAAAUUCUUCAAGUGAUUAAAGCCUGGAUACAUCAUAUACACAUUUUUCAGUACUUACAAAAAAAUCAAGGAAAUAACAGGUUGAUUAUUAAUUAUUAAUAUUUAAGAACCUGGAUGCAGUAGUUGGUUAGUAGCACCAUGAGAAAAAGUUGCUUUCAAAAACAAACAGAAAUAUAAUGUUGGUGUAAGCAGUCUUGUUGUUGUAAUGUUUUCAGUGCAUUACUCUUAAAUUGAAGAAAGUGCCAUUUCGGGGGGUCACCUCUUCCCACUCAUAAUCAGAAGAACAGGAGCACCACUGUUUCUCAUUCCACAACACUGCAGUUUCUCGCUUGUUCCUUUCCAAAAUGCACUGAUUACUCUUUACAUGAGGUACGUACAAAUGUUAUGUAUGAACAGUUAUUUUUUGUUUUUUUUUGUGUUUGUUUUUGCUUCGCACAGUAGCACCAUUGUAAAUGGAAGACAGAGCGCCCUACAGUUUUUACUUAUUGAGCUGGAUAUUUUCUUCUCAGCCGAUUUCUCUUGUUGUCUCAAUGUCGGAAGCCAAUGCAUUACGUCCUUUUCAUACAUACUUGACAGCGGCUCACACGUGUUCGGAGUUCACCCGCUUUUAGAGUCUCGGGCUGCGGUUUACUGUUGUAAAAAAGAG